UGCAGUCGAGCGAACAGAUAAGGAGCUUGCUCCUUUGACGUUAGCGGCGGACGGGUGAGUAACACGUGGAUAACCUACCUAUAAGACUGGGAUAACUUCGGGAAACCGGAGCUAAUACCGGAUAACAUAUUGAACCGCAUGGUUCAAUAGUGAAAGGCGGCUUUGCUGUCACUUAUAGAUGGAUCCGCGCCGUAUUAGCUAGUUGGUAAGGUAACGGCUUACCAAGGCAACGAUACGUAGCCGACCUGAGAGGGUGAUCGGCCACACUGGAACUGAGACACGGUCCAGACUCCUACGGGAGGCAGCAGUAGGGAAUCUUCCGCAAUGGGCGAAAGCCUGACGGAGCAACGCCGCGUGAGUGAUGAAGGUCUUCGGAUCGUAAAACUCUGUUAUCAGGGAAGAACAAAUGUGUAAGUAACUGUGCACAUCUUGACGGUACCUGAUCAGAAAGCCACGGCUAACUACGUGCCAGCAGCCGCGGUAAUACGUAGGUGGCAAGCGUUAUCCGGAAUUAUUGGGCGUAAAGCGCGCGUAGGCGGUUUUUUAAGUCUGAUGUGAAAGCCCACGGCUCAACCGUGGAGGGUCAUUGGAAACUGGAAAACUUGAGUGCAGA
rnacentral:rRNA from 1 species